rnacentral:misc_RNA from 1 species
AGCAGCCGCGGUAAUUCCAGCUCCAAUAGCGUAUAUUAAAGUUGUUGCAGUUAAAAGCUCGUAGUUGAAUUUCGGGGUCAGCAGGUCGGUCGUGCCAAUGGUAUGCACUGGCCUUGCUGAUUCCUCCCUCUUGAUGAGCCGUAAUGCCAUUAGUUUGGUGUUGCGGGGAAUCAGGACUGUUACUUUGAAAAAUUGAGUGUUUAAAGCAGGCAAGCGCUUGAAUACAUUAGCAUGGAAUAAUGAAAUAGGACGUUUGAUCCUAUUUUGUUGGUUUCUAGGAUUGACGUAAUGA